CCUACGGGUGGCAGCAGUGAGGAAUAUUGGUCAAUGGGCGCGAGCCUGAACCAGCCAAGUAGCGUGAAGGAUGACUGCCCUACGGGUUGUAAACUUCUUUUAUAAAGGAAUAAAGUGAGGCACGUGUGCCUUUUUGUAUGUACUUUAUGAAUAAGGAUCGGCUAACUCCGUGCCAGCAGCCGCGGUAAUACGGAGGAUGCGAGCGUUAUCCGGAUUUAUUGGGUUUAAAGGGUGCGCAGGCGGCGAGUUAAGUCAGCGGUAAAAUUUCGGGGCUCAACCCCGACAAGCCGUUGAAACUGGCUUGCUAGAGUGGGCGAGAAGUAUGCGGAAUGCGUGGUGUAGCGGUGAAAUGCAUAGAUAUCACGCAGAACUCCGAUUGCGAAGGCAGCAUACCGGCGCCCAACUGACGCUCAGGCACGAAAGCGUGGGUAUCGAACAGGAUUAGAUACCCCUGUGGUC
rnacentral:rRNA from 1 species